rnacentral:rRNA from 1 species
GGCGGCGUGCUUAACACAUGCAAGUCGAACGCUCCUGGAGGUUGGAAGUUAGAGGUUAGAAGUUGGAUUAAGAAGGAAUUGGCCCCAGGGCCAAUUCUCACGAAAUCUAACAUCUAAUUUCCAACUUCCAACUUCCAGUGAGAGUGGCGGACGGGUGAGUAACGCGUGGAUAACCUGCCUUUAAGCCCGGGAUAACGCCUGGAAACGGGUGCUAAUACCGGAUACGUUCCCUUUAUCGCAUGGUAGGGGGAAGAAACGGGUAACACCGCUUAAAGAUGGGUCCGCGUCCCAUUAGCUGGUUGGUGGUGUAAAAGACCACCAAGGCGACGAUGGGUAGCCGGCCUGAGAGGGCGACCGGCCACACUGGGACUGAGACACGGCCCAGACUCCUACGGGAGGCAGCAGUGGGGAAUCUUGCCGCAAUGGGCGGAAGCCUGACGCAGCAACGCCGCGUGAGUGAAGAAGGCCUUCGGGUUGUAAA